rnacentral:misc_RNA from 1 species
UGGAGAAAGGUCUCUGUGAUCAACAUCGUGGUACUCAUCAUCCUCGUAAUUAUCUAUGUUGUUGGAUGCGCUGCUUUCAGGAACAAUCGGAGGAUCGACAAUGAUGAGCCUUUCGGAGAAGCUAGGAUGACAAAAUCUCGGCCUAGCCGGCUUCAGUUUUAGUUGGGAAUUGGUGGUUGUUGAUAUACAGUUUGUAUACUAAACGUCAGUAGGUUGUGUGUAUGAUCUUGGUUUCGACUUUCCUUAUCAGUUCUGCAAGCAAUUAGUAGGUUUGUAAUAG